rnacentral:rRNA from 1 species
CACGUAGGGGCCAAGCGUUGUCCGGAUUUAUUGGGCGUAAAGGGUGCGUAGGCGGCGCGGUAAGUCGGGUGUGAAAUCUCGGAGCUUAACUCCGAAACUGCAUUCGAUACUGCCGUGCUUGAGGACUGGAGAGGAGACUGGAAUUUACGGUGUAGCGGUGAAAUGCGUAGAUAUCGUAAGGAAGACCAGUGGCGAAGGCGGGUCUCUGGACAGUUCCUGACGCUGAGGCACGAAGGUCAGGGGAGCAAACGGG